CGUAUUUGGGAGAACUUUUAUCACUUUUGGGACACAUCAUGAGGAAUCAACCAACUGUUCAGCAAUGGCGCGUGGACCGCAGGGACCUGUUGGGAUGUCCUCCAGGGCUCCGGACAAGACACUUUUCACCUUGUUGGACCCUCCAUUGUUUCUCACACUCCAGGACGAGACUUUAUGACCAUAAAAGGCUGGUUCGAAAUAUUAAAAAAAUAUACACAGCCUCAGAAACGUGCCUUUGUAUGGUGCUGCUCGUCAGUACGUGGGGAAAGAGUUUCUUACAUGGCGGGGCAUGUUUUCAAUAUUGAUGGAAAAAGGCUUUUUUGGGGGGAAGAGGACAGCUACGUGUGCUUCUUCAAGGACCGUGUCUACGAUCAUCCUGUUGCUAUGCUAUCUGUUGCAGGGUCGCGAGAGUACUGGAGCCAACUCCGCUAUCAACGGGCAGGAGGCAGGGUCCACCUUGAGCUGGUUGCCAGUCAGUCACAGAGCAAAUAUCAAUACCAUCACUGAGUGGGAAUCGAUCCCACGCUGCCCAUACCAAAGUCAGAUGCUGCAAGUUUUGUUGCAACCAGAGAGGAGCUAAAGUGUGGAAAACCGUUCACAGAUGGAUGGAGCUGAGCAGUGAUGUCUCAAACGGGUAAAGACACAAUCCUGUCAGAAUGUGAUGUACAACUGAAAUGCAUACAAACGUCGCCAUGUCUGAUUCGCCAUCAAAAACGUUACAUGCCACCCCUCCAGAGAGACCUGUUCC